CCCGGGCCUUGUACACACCGCCCGUCACACCACGAGAGUUUGUAACACCCGAAGUCGGUGGGGUAACCGCAAGGAGCCAGCCGCCUAAGGUGGGACAGAUGAUUGGGUG
rnacentral:rRNA from 1 species